CGGGGUGUAGUCUAACGGUAGGACGCAUCCUUGGGGUGGAUGUAGCCCGGGUUCAAUUCCCGGCACCCCGA
rnacentral:tRNA from 1 species